CUCAGGAUGAACGCUAGCGGGAGGCCUAACACAUGCAAGCCGAGCGGUAGAGAUUCUUCGGGAUCUUGAGAGCGGCGCACGGGUGCGGAACACGUGUGCAACCUGCCUUUAUCUGGGGGAUAGCCUUUCGAAAGGAAGAUUAAUACCCCAUAAUAUAAGAAACGGCAUCGUUUUUUAUUGAAAACUCCGGUGGAUAGAGAUGGGCACGCGCAGGAUUAGAUAGUUGGUGAGGUAACGGCUCACCAAGUCAACGAUCCUUAGGGGGCCUGAGAGGGUGAUCCCCCACACUGGUACUGAGACACGGACCAGACUCCUACGGGAGGCAGCAGUGAGGAAUAUUGGACAAUGGGUGAGAGCCUGAUCCAGCCAUCCCGCGUGAAGGACGACGGCCCUAUGGGUUGUAAACUUCUUUUGUAUAGGGAUAAACCUUUCCUCGUGAGGGAAGCUGAAGGUACUAUACGAAUAAGCACCGGCUAACUCCGUGCCAGCAGCCGCGGUAAUACGGAGGGUGCAAGCGUUAUCCGGAUUUAUUGGGUUUAAAGGGUCCGUAGGCGGAUCUGUAAGUCAGUGGUGAAAUCUCACAGCUUAACUGUGAAACUGCCAUUGAUACUGCAGGUCUUGAGUGUUGUUGAAGUAGCUGGAAUAAGUAGUGUAGCGGUGAAAUGCAUAGAUAUUACUUAGAACACCAAUUGCGAAGGCAGGUUACUAAGCAACAAC
rnacentral:rRNA from 1 species